CCAAGUUGUUACGUUUUCAGCAAUGUCCCAAUAUCUUUUAAACAACUUACUGUAAAUAACUGCAAUCAAUUUUUUUUAUAGCAGUGCACAUGUACAUGUCUGAUGGGAACAGGAUUUAAAAUACAUUUAUAGUAAUCUGUAGGUUUUUACUUGCCAUCGUCACCUCUAGCUUUCUCAAUAUGGAUAAACUUAGAGGGGUGCAACAGACAGCGUGGAAUUUUUUUUCAUCACCUAGUAUCGCCUGGUUCAUGGACUGGAAACUCCUGUCAGAGAAAAGAUUUUGUUUCGGGGAAAAGG